rnacentral:rRNA from 1 species
CAGGUCUUGACAUCCUCUGACACUCCUAGAGAUAGGACGUUCCCCUUCGGGGGACAGAGUGACAGGUGGUGCAUGGUUGUCGUCAGCUCGUGUCGUGAGAUGUUGGGUUAAGUCCCGCAACGAGCGCAACCCUUGAUCUUAGUUGCCAGCAUUAGGUUGGGCACUCUAAGGUGACUGCCGGUGACAAACCGGAGGAAGGUGGGGAUGACGUCAAAUCAUCAUGCCCCUUAUGACCUGGGCUACACACGUGCUACAAUGGAUGGUACAAAGGGCUGCGAAACCGCGAGGUCGAGCCAAUCCCAUAAAACCAUUCUCAGUUCGGAUUGUAGGCUGCAACUCGCCUACAUGAAGCUGGAAUCGCUAGUAAUCGUGGAUCAGCAUGCCACGGUGAAUACGUUCCC